rnacentral:rRNA from 1 species
AGAAUCAACGCUGGCGGCGUGCCUAACACAUGCAAGUCGAACGCGAAAGGGGAGCAAUCCCUGAGUAGAGUGGCAAACGGGUGAGUAACACGUGGGUGACCUGCCUUCGAGUGGGGGAUAACGUUCCGAAAGGAACGCUAAUACCGCAUGACAUCCUGCUUUUGGAAAAGCGGAGAUCAAAGCUGGGGAUUCGCAAGAACCUAGCGCUUGAAGAGGGGCCCGCGCCUGAUUAGCUAGUUGGUGAGGUAACGGCUCACCAAGGCUACGAUC